GUCCGCCUGCCCUGUGACUCUAAGUUUAACGGCCGCGGUAUCUUAACCGUGCGAAGGUAGCGCAAUCACUUGUCUCUUAAAUGGGGACCCGUAUGAAUGGCAUAACGAGGGCUUAACUGUCUCCUUUCUCAAGUUAAUGAAAUUGACCUCCCCGUGCAGAGGCGGGGAUACAAACAUAAGACGAGAAGACCCUAUGGAGCUUUAGGCACUAAAACUGAUCACGUAAAAAACCUCUUAUAAAAGAAUAUAACUUUGUGAAACCAGUUUAAUUGCCUUUGGUUGGGGCGACCGCGGGGAAACAAAAAACCCCCAUGUGGACUGGGGCCACUACGGCCCUAGAAAUAAGAGCUCCCGCUCUAACUAACAGAACUUCUGACCUUACUGAUCCGGCCUUGGCCGAUCAACGAACCGAGUUACCCUAGGGAUAACAGCGCAAUCCCCUUAUAGAGCCCAUAUCGACAAGGGGGUUUACGACCUCGAUGUUGGAUCAGGAUAUCCUAAUGGUGCAGCCGCUAUUAAGGGUUCGUUUGUUCAACGAUUAAAAUCCUACGUGAUCUG
rnacentral:rRNA from 1 species